AUGGUCCCCGUUUUCCCGCCUGAGGAAAAUAACUUCGCCUCAGGCGCGCCAGGGCCGGAAACGGAAGUAGCUUCUCCGCGGUUGCCUAGCAACCCCUCACAAAUGGCUGCUGUUACUGCUGCUGUUGAAGGUCCGCUCCCGCCUCCAAGCCUCUGGGACCAAAUCUGCGCAGAGUUUGCAGCAAGUGAACCAAUCCAUCCUGACAGUUUAGAACAGAAAGAAGAACACGUUCCUGAGAAAAAGGAGGCGCCUUUCUUUAUCGUUCAGGUUCCUGGCGAUCUUGGAACUUCUCCAGCCUGGAAUGAGGAUCGGGGCAAAUCGGCCACUGCUGACGAGACAGCUCCGCAAAAGACUCCUUCUCACCUUUCUCUUCCAUUGGCUCCUGAGCUGCCCGAUCUAAAGACAUGUUCUCCAAGAGAAUUCUUAGAAUACUACAUAUUUCCUGUGCUUCUUCCUGGGAUUGCAGAAUUGUUACUUCAGGCUAAGAAGGAGAAAUGUUUUGAGAGAAAAAGAACAAAAUUUAUUGCCCUUGAUUUCCUUACUGAAUGGCUAUAUAACCACAACGCAAAGAGGACGGAUGACCCCUUUGUUGAGUUCUUCGAGAUCCCUUUUGUGAAGGAGUGGCUGAAAGACCAUCCUAGACCACCAAUUGCGCUCUCCCUGCUGCUGUCCGAAGAAGAAGCAAGCAACAUAAUUCAAUCAUUCUGGAGAGGUUAUCGGGUUCGCUGUGAGCCUGAGGUUCAAGAAUUACGCCAGUGGCAAAAACAUUUGAGGGAGAAUAAAAACAUCUUCAAGCGGGUGCGAGAAUUCUGGGCCAAGCAAGAGAAAAAACUGGGAAUCAAACUGGAAGAUUCGGGCCGGCCCAGCCCACAGCGCUCAAAAUUUUCCGUGCUGGAAAUCUUCAAGAAGACAGAGGUUGCAGACGUUGUGCCCGAGGUCACAGCCGCAGCAGUUGUUGAGGAAUCAGCAAGUAACCAGUCUGGGCCUUCCCUUUAGGCUCAGCUGCCAAAGGAUGAACAGAGGAAAAGUAUCCAGUGAGUAGGAUUACGAUCCACAGCAGAAUCUUUUUCAAAUAUUAGAAGCUCCUCGUUGACUUAAAAAAAAACCAAGCCAAAACCAAAAUGACCAGAACAUUUGGCAGACAGAAGUUGAAGGAUCACCUGCUCAAGGGGAGGCUUCGUUGGGACCAAAGCGAAAAACGGACUUCACUUUUCUUCUCUGCAAACAUUGUGUGACCACAGGAACCGCCUCCUCCUGCGCCUCGGCUCCGGCCGAAUGCUGCCUCGCCACAUGAGAAAAACCUCACUUGGUUGUUAUAUGUUUUCCGGGCUGUCUGGCCACGUUCCAGAAGCAUUCUCUCCUGACGUUUUGCCCACAUCUAUGGCAGGCAUCCUCAGAGGGUGUGAGGUAUGGAGAAACUAAGCAAGGAAGGUUGAUAUAUAUCUGUGGAAGUAAGAACUUUUUGUCUGUUGGAGGCCAGUGUGAAUGUUGCAAUUAGUCACCUUCAUUAGCAUUAAAUAGCCUUCCAAGCUUCACCUCCUGGCCUGGGGGGAAUCCUUUGUUCAGAGUCGUUAGCUGCCCCCUGAUUGAUUCCUGUCUGGAAUUUUCUGUUUUUAGAGUGCUGCUCUUUAUUUACUGUUCUGAUUUUGGAGUUUUUAAAAUACUGUUCAUUUUCAUGAAGUUGUCCACGUGCUUAUGUGGUCGAAAGCCUUCGACGACACAGAAAUCUCACUUUAUUUAUUUCAAAUUUCAAAUAUUUCUAUCCCGCCCUUCUCACCCGGAGGGACUCAGGGCGGCGCUUCUUCACUUCAUCCUUCCUCCCAACGUGCCUAGAUCUAUAUUCAAUUGUUUAGUUUUCGCGUAUGUUUCGGAGGUGUUGCUUUUUUGGAGGCUUUGCUCGCGUGGUUAGCGCAUCGAUUCAACAGUGCUCACAUUGGUAUGAAUUUAUUCGUCACAAAAAGCUGUCUGUCCGAGGACUCCCGCCGUCCCAGAUGGGUUUUCUGCUCUCCUGGAUUCGUUUGCUAAUAUUAUUGGCUCCUUCCCAUAGAAAGACACACACUGCUCGGGAAUGAAACCUGUUAAGGGACUCUCUCUUUCUUUCUUUCUUUCUCUCGCUCUCUCUUUCGCAGCCUACAAGAUUUUUCACCAGAGGUGUCUUCCGGUGUAACUUGGUGGAGCAGUUGGAAUCUGGAAAUAAGGAUAACACAUCCAAAUAACUAAGCAUUCCAAUGUUAUUUAAAAAAUGGUUCUAUUAUACACACAAGCACUGAUGAAUAUCACAAUGAUAUAGAAUGCUAGGGGUCGCCUGGCUGAUGUGGCUGGAGGCAUCCUCUGUUUGGGCACUUGAUUGGGUUGCUGUGAUGCUUCGAAGCCUGGCUGCUUCCUACCUGGGGGAAUCCUUUGUUGGGACGUGUUAACUGGCCCUGAUUGUUUCUAAUAUUAUAAUACAUUGUAUAUACAUGUAAUACUAAUAAUAAUAUUAUGAUGUAAUACAAUGUAAUAAUAAUUAUAAUUCACUAUUAUAAUUGUAUAUUUAUAUUACAUGCAAUAUUACUAAUAAUAUUGCGAUAUAGUUGUAUAAUAUAAUAUAUUGUAUGUAUAUAUACUUGUAAACCGCCCUGAGUCCCCUUCGGGGUGAGAAGGGCGGUAUAUAAAUGUCGCAAAUAAAAUAAAUAAAUAAAUUUCUUGUCUGGAA